CUUCCGGUGACCAUUUCAGCAAUCAGUGCACGUGAAUGAUUGUCGAGCCCUUGCAUGCGUAGUGCUCGGUCUAUUGAUGUGUGAUUGACCGUAUCGAAUGCCUUCGCUAAGUCUACACAGACGAUGUUUAGUUCCUUUCCAGUCUUGUGCGCUUCUCUGACGAUGGUCAUUAGNACCGGCGACAUCACUUUCAAGUGUCUGCCUUAUCAACCUUCGAUGGUAGUCUAUGCGACUACCAUGGUGAUAACGGGUAACGGAGAAUCAGGGUUCGACUCCGGAGAGGGAGCCUGAGAAACGGCUACCACAUCCAAGGAAGGCAGCAGGCGCGCAAAUUACCCACUCCCAGCUUGGGGAGGUAGUGACGAAAAAUAACGAGACGAUUCUCGUUUGAGAAACGUUAUCGAAAUGAGUACGCUUUACACACGCUAACGAGUAGCAAUUGGAGGGCAAGUCUGGUGCCAGCAGCCGCGGUAAUUCCAGCUCCAAUAGCGUAUAUUAAAGUUGCUGCGGUUAAAACGCUCGUAGUUGAAUUGUGGUCUUAGACAACAGUCCCCCUACAUAGGUGUGGCACGGUUGCUCGAGAUCUUCAUUCGUGGUUGCUGUUGUUGCUCUUCAUUGAGUGUCAAUGGUGCCUCGAGAUUUUACUUUGAAAAAAUUAGAGUGCUCAAAGCAGGUUGUGAUGCCUGAAUAAUGGUGCAUGGAAUAAUAGAAUACGAUCUCGGUUCUAUUUUGUUGGUUUUCGAACCGGAGAUAAUGAUUGAAAGGAACAGACGGGGGCAUUCGUAUUGCUGCGUUAGAGGUGAAAUUCUUGGAUCGCAGCAAGAUGAACAAUUGCGAAAGCAUUUGCCAAGAAUGUUUUCAUUAAUCAAGAACGAAAGUUAGAGGUUCGAAGGCGAUCAGAUACCGCCCUAGUUCUAACGGUAAACUAUGCCAACCAGCGAUUCGCCGAAGUUCAUUUAAGACUCGGCGAGCAGCUUCCGGGAAACCAAAGUGUUUCGGUUCCGGGGGAAGUAUGGUUGCAAAGCUGAAACUUAUCGGCGGGAGUAACUAUGACUCUCUUCUGGCGUGCGGCGGCCUAAUUUCUAUCGCUCUCUCGCUGAACGAAA
rnacentral:rRNA from 1 species